AUUAGUAGUCAGGGAGAUGCCUUAGUGCAUCCAGCACUGCAAGUCAGGGAUGAGACACACUACAACAGGAGAGGGAGCAAGCGCGAGAGGAUAUUAGAAGAGAGGCUUGUCUCCAAGAUAUGGAAGGAAGUGAGAAAUGACAGGGCUGCAAGCUUUGUAUGUAGGAGCCCGGCAGGGCGGGGGAGCGGCGAGGAGAGCCAAGUGGAUUCUCAGAAAAGGGGGGAAGCCAUCGAAGAGCUAAAGGUGAUUAGAGGGGGAUAUUGAUUUCUUAUUCUGCCAGAGAUUUAAGCAGGCAUGCGAGGAAUCUGCACCAUGGUUGGCAAAAAGAGACCCGUUGCCUCCUGUAACCAGACACUCAGGCUUUCCAGGAGCCCAGGGAGCAAGCCGAGAAGAAAGGGGGCAGUGUGGUCUAGGAAAAUUCAACUUGUCGCUGAUUUGUGCCUGAUGCCUGCUGUCCGUCAGCAGCCUCCCUUACAAUCUUUUUUUCUCUCUCUCCUUUUUUUUUCCUUGCCUUCUCCUUCUUCACUGAAGCCUAGGGGAGCCAGUAAAGAUUAAAUGUGCUUCUCAAAGGCAGCCACUUCAUGCUGCUAUGUCGAAAGGGCCAUUAUUAUUAUUAUAUUUUAAUGGUAAAAGAGAAAAGGAGAGAGGUUGAGCGAGCGAGAGAGAAGCUAGGUGUGAUGAUGACAGACUAGCUUUUCUGAGAGGAAAAGGAAAAGGGAAGGGAGAGAAAAAGGAGAGCCUCUGAGCUCAACGGAGGAUUGUGCCUGAGAAGAACCCACAGAGUUGUGUUGAUGUUCCUUUCAGCUGGUCCUAUAGUACCCCUCCUCAGGAAUGUCUCCCCAGUGCAAGGACAAAGACUGAAGAGACUGCUAUAUUGAUGGACUCUCAAGCCAACUAUGAAGUUGAAACAAAGAAAGUGAUCACCUGAAGACACCUCCUCUGCUAAGAAACACCCCCAAAUUGUGCAGCUUCUGCCACUAGAACUCUCAGAACAAGAGACAAUCUUUUCAAGAAACAGAAAAACUCAAUAAUGACAUCUAGAUUUUCAUGAGCCAAGAACUUUCCCUUCCUCAUGUGUAUUCCUCUGUUUGUACUUAAAUUCAUGUGACAUUCAUUUUUUUCCUAGUAUGGAUAUGCUUAUUAAUGCACUUGUUUCAAAAUCCCAAAUUGCACAAAUGUGUUAAUAUUUUAAGAAACAAAAUGAAUCCUACAAGGAGAAUGAUUUUUAGCCACACAUAGGGUUGGAUCUUGAGAGUGACCUACAGAAUAAAAGUACUUUUAAAAUAAAGUAGUCAGAGGCUAUUCAAAGGGUAAAAUAAUCAUAGUACCACAUUGGUCCACUUGACACUAACCAAUCGAUCAUUUUUUUUUAAUCAAGAAAGCUAGAUUCUAUCAGAUAAAAUCACUGCUUCUAAAGAGUUUAAAUCUAGUUAGAAAAAGUUAUAGAAAUGUUUGCAAAGAUAAGUAACAGAUAGAGUCAGUAGAGGAUAAGAUCAAAAACAAAACCAAGCAAAAGAUGAGUUCAGGGGAGUUUGCCAUCAAGUUGGCAAAACUGACUUACUUAGGGAAGAAAGUUAUAAAACAGGAAAAUAUGAGAUGAACCUUGAGUGAUGUGGAAGAUUUAGAUAAAUGGAAAGGAAGGAGAAAAUGGAGUUCUUUAGGUGGUUGUAAUUGGAGGAGGAAAUGAAUACACACAUCUUGUUGACUUAAACCCAGACAUUCAGCAGCUCUCUAUACAUAUCUGGAAAAGACUGCACAGUCACCUCCUGUCUCUCACCCCAGGUAUUACUUAGAAUUAUUAUCAUAUUUCCCUUCCUUUAAAGUAAGUAAGGGUGAUUGGUGACAAUAUGGAGAACUAUGAUUUUUCCAUUAACCUAAUAAUAAUUGGUAUUUAUUGAGUUCUGUUAAGCAUUUUACAUAUUAACUCACUUAAGCCUUUCAACAGCCUUGCAAAAUAGGUAUUAUUAUCCCCAUUUUACAGGCAAGAAAACUGAGGUUUAAGUAACUUGCCGAAGUGCCAUAUACAGGGCUCACAUUCAGUAUUGCAGUUGCAAAGCUCAUGAUCUAUAGUGCCAAGUUGCAAUAUUGUAGUCAAUGUCACAAUUAUUACCCCUUUUUAUAUUCCUUGAUAUUUUUCCAUGGCAAACAAUUAGCUAUUUCAUUUAAUAAUCACCUAAAACUUUUCAGUCUUCUGAUUAAAAUUACGCUGGAGUGAUAGAAUGUAUUUUCAUGAUAGAAAUUGGGAAAAAAAAUGGGGAAUGAAGUUUAUCAGCAUUUCAGACUUGUUUUUUUUUUUUUUUUUUGCAAGACUUUGAUGAGAUUGUUCACUUUUGUCUAUGUAAAAUCCCAAAUCCUUGAGAAUAAAAAAGGGGGAGGUUUAAGUCACUUGUUGCAAUGCCCUUUUUAAUAGAGGCAAUAAAUCUAAAGGCCAUAAAUUUAGAGUGACUUACAGAAGAUCGAACUUUGGAGUGUGGCAGAGUAAGGGAUGGAAACCGGGCCCUCCAGUUCACUAUCAGUAGCUUUUGCACUGGUCUGCCCUUCCUAAAUUAAGUAUGCACUUCAAUUUGAUGAGUGGAAACAGUCUAUCUGGGCAGUAACCAGGGAGCUUUGUGCCUAGUAGAUUGCUUCUGUUCUGCACUUCUUUGGUUUCCCACCUCAAUGUAAAAAAUAGCUAGCAAUGAAGUCCAGAAGUUGUCAAUGGUUCAUCCCCAGAAGAAUGCAUAAUGUCCAAAGUUGUAUGUGUAUGAUGUCUUCAAUGGUAUUAAGUUAUUUCAAAUUCUUAGUUCACCUACAUAAAUCAUUUCUAACAAGCAUCUUCUUAACCAACUUUAUGCACAGUGUAUGUUUGUAAGUGCUUCUGCACGAAUGUUUAUACAUGACUGUUUCCAUAGUACUUAUGUUUUUAAAAAUAUUCAGUCAUUUCCUACUAUAAUCCUCAUGUAUCCAUGUAACUGACUCAAAAAUACUUCAGCCACAGAAAGCUAAAACUGAGCAAAUCUCAUUCUUCUUUUCCAUCCCCUUUGCAUGUGGCUGGCAUUUAGUAAUGAUUAAUAAUAUGGCCAGCUGAAUAACAGAGGUUUGAGACACAAUUCUUUCUCAAAGGAGUCAGCUAAGCUGGGUCUACUUAUGGACAAACAUCUAAAUGUGUGGAAGUAUCUGAUAUUUGACAAUGGUAAAUUUCCACUUAGCUAGCUAGCAUUGUCAGACUUCAAUCUCCUCAUGGCUCUGGCCGUCCUGUUUUAAGCAUGAUAAUUGUUGGCCACAUCUCACAUAGUUCUCAUUGAGUGAGUUCAUAAAUAAACAGGGUUUUUUUUUUUUUUUAAAGAGCAGCCAAGCACAAAGUGUGACUUUGUUGACAUUUUAUGUGACUUUGUCAUAUGUUCCUAACCCCCAAUAAAAGCAAUGUUGCAUCAACUGUGAA
rnacentral:lncRNA from 1 species